ACCUGGGCGGCUCAGUCGGUUAAGCGUCUGACUUCAGCUCAGGUCCUGAUCUCACCGUUCGUGAGUUCGAGCCCCACCUCGGGCU
rnacentral:tRNA from 1 species